UACGGGGGGGCAAGCGUUGUUCGGAAUUACUGGGCGUAAAGGGCUCGUAGGCGGCCAACUAAGUCGGAUGUGAAAUCCCCAGGCUUAACCUGGGAACUGCAUCCGAUACUGGAUGGCUUGAAUCCGGGAAGAGGGAUGCAGAAUUCCAGGUGUAGCGGUGAAAUGCGUAGAUAUCUGGAGGAAUACCGAUGGCGAAGGCAGCCCCCUGGGCUAACACUGACGCUCAUGCACGAAAGCGUGGGGAGCAAACAGG
rnacentral:rRNA from 1 species